rnacentral:rRNA from 1 species
UACGGAGGAUCCGAGCGUUAUCCGGAUUUAUUGGGUUUAAAGGGUGCGCAGGCGGGAGAUUAAGUCGGCGGUGAAAUUUUGCAGCUCAACUGUAAAAGUGCCUUCGAAACUGGUUUCCUUGAGUGUAGAUGAAGUAGGCGGAAUUUGUGGUGUAGCGGUGAAAUGCUUAGAUAUCACGAGGAACUCCGAUUGCGCAGGCAGCUUACUAAACUACUACUGACGCUCAGGCACGAAGGCGUGGGGAUCAAACAGGAUUAGAUACCCGUGUAGUCU